UUAGUUUAUGCCUGGUUCUUUACCUCCACUAAAAUGCUGCAGUGAUACAUAUAAGCUGCAAAAAUUUCAGGUUGCUACAUCAUCAAUAAAGAUACAAUUCAAAUGCAGGUUACAGUUUGCAAAUGUUAGAAAUUUUCCAAGUUGGAUCAACUAGUAACGGGCUGCACUUUUCUAUUCUCAUUUCUAUUUUCUCUGCCUCAAGCAUCAAAGUAAAUGUGUAUACAUGUACAAGGAAACACAAACUUUGCAUUGCACCUUUCACAUCCAUAAACUCUGCUCAGAAUUAUUCUCAAUUAAUUUUGGGCUUUGGUCGCCCUGGCUUCAAGACGAUGUAAAGAACACCGAGAACAGUUAAGAAUGCAGGAAUUGUAGUCAUAUCAAACACUACAUGCACUUUUCUCUCUCUUGUGCAGUGAAUUGGGUGGAGAAGAGCUAUAGUUGCAUUCACUUGAUCAGCAAACCCUUUGGAAGCAUCCUCUAACGUAUAAAGAAGCCUCAUGGCAUCCACAUAACGCAAUUCUCCAGCAAUGGUUGAGAUUCUUCUCCACAGGCUAACCACAUAAUUAUACUUGUUCACAAGCUCUUGCUCUUUGGAUUGAAAGAGCCUGAAGGUCUUCUCAGAUGUACGCUCCAUUAGUAGACGAUGAGUGGCAGAAUUGACCAGUUGUAUCGACUCUUCAAGAGUCGUGAUUAUAUAACUCCGACCAAUUGUAUCUGACUGAAACUGUGAUAUGUGCCAGCCCUGGGAAGUUAUGGAAAAAGGAUUGCAUCCGACAGACCAUAUCCAGUCCUCAAUUGCAGUUUCAUGGGCAUGGCUAUAGGCAAUAUGAAGGGGAAGUAAACCAGCCAAAUGUUCAGAAACAGCAGCCAUUGAAGCUUUUAUGGGCCUCCUCAAGUCCCACAAAAGUGACUGCCCAUUGCAUUGCAAAUAGCUUUCCCAGGAUGGCGGCUCUGACUGGACAACAAUAACCAUGUCUGAAAGAGCCUUUGCUUGAUAAUGCUUGUCAACCAAUAAUGGCUCUCCAUGAAUGAACCAGAAGAUAGGAACUUCAAGUGUAGACCUGGUAUGGGCAUGUGCUCCUUUGAGAGAACCAUGUUCAUUCAACCUCUGCAAUUGAUACUGAAGAAUAGAAGAAUCAAGAUAGGACCGAAUGGUCUUUCUAUAUGUUCCAUUAACAAGUAAAAGUGGAACAGCUGCUGCACGCCGUGCAACUGAAAAUGCCAUUGCCAAGGCAGGAUCUUCUGAAAGUGAUAAUAGGGUCUGGCUGAACAUAGCCUUUUGGGAAGGCAACAACAAGGAGGAAAGCCCAUCCAUGAGAGCCUUGAGAUCCACAGGUAGUUGUUUAACAGUCCUAACUUUCUCCUGUGUAAUGAAAAACAACUGAAAGGAUAUCUUCUCAUAAUAGUGGAAAGCACCGUCAGCAAUUGAAGGUGAUAUUAUGUGCCUCAUGGAACCCCACAGUGUAGCGCCUAAAUGAGCCAGAAAAGUAUCCCGUGCAACCGUGUAGUUCUGAAACUCCUCAUAAGUGUCGCUGAAAAGAUUCCAACUCUCCAUUCUUUUUAAUGCCUCUAUAGCCUUCCUUUUAUGACUCUCCUCAUAUUCCUCACCUUCAAAUGAUUGGAGCUCAUUUUUCAAAUCCUGCAUUCUCUCAUCAAGCUCUUCACAAAGAGCUAGCUUCACUUUCCUUCCCUUGCAGUGCUUGAAUGCAAAAAGCUCAUAAAUAUCAAUCUCCGCCAAAAGGAUAUCAAUGGCUUGAUGAUCUUUAUCACCAAAUACUGCAAACUUUUCCUGAAUUGCAUCUUGCAACCGAUCUUCAGCUUCAUCUUCUGAAAUUUCUGCAACUGCACCAAUGGUUUUGGUAACAUUAGGCAAACUAUGGUCUGUGCGCACACCUUCUCCACCAACAGCAGGGCCCCAAGAGAAAGGGCCAGCGGUUAAAUCAAUGAAUGCCCACCUGUCCCUUCCAAUCCAUGUAUCUGUAAGACAUUCUGCAUGAAAACCACUAAAGUCCCCUGAUUUUAACUCCUUUUCAAGAAUAAGUUUCAUAUCUUCAUUUUUCUUCCCUUUCAAUAACUGUAGAACUUUAUUCUGAAUGAUAUCCGAAGUGUCAUUUCCUUGGUAUAACUUCUCAACAUUAUUGAGCGCAUUCAACCAGAUAUUAUACCAUUCCACCUGAUAUUAUCUAAAAAUUUAUUGCUCAAUACUGACAUGUUUCCUUACAACGCUAAAAUACUCAUUUAGUUACACAUAUCUAGCCCACAUAUGACACAUGGACACCCACAGAAAUACUAAUACACAGUUGUAAUAUGUGCAAUCAGAAGUCUGAGUCUCAAACGCAAGAAGCAACCACCAAGAUAUUCAUUUUACUGGAGUGGAAAGUAGGACAACAAAAUGCUUAUAAUUAAUUACAAAAUUUGAUUACAACACUCACAUCACAAACUCUCUGUUACCUGGUAAAUUUCUUCAGCUGGGUGGUAAGUUCCUAUCAGUUUGCCCAGCCAAACAAGUAAAAGACAAGGGACUUUUUAAGCUUGACAUUCACUGAAAUCCAUGAAGAAUGCUUCCAAUAAAAUUAAUUACUACUACUUCAACAAAGAAUCAUUGGCAUCCACCACUUCAGAAGGUCCAUUUCAACUGUUCACAAAUAGAUAUUGACUAAUUAAGUGUUCGUUUCUACCCUUUUGAGUCUUGACUUAUUAGGUUCACUAUCACAACCAAUAAAUGAUUGAACCAGCAGAAAUAAAUGGAUUUACAAAAUUUGGGUCCUAUGGAGUCAUAAGGACUGGAACUAAACCAAAUUUAACCCAAUCUUAUACAUGUCCAAAAGUUCUCAAAGUAUGGAAAACAAAUUUUAUUAAAAAUAAAUAAAUAAAAAUCUUACCACUGGUCUGAAUAGCACAAUUGAAAGUAUUAUCAUUUUAAAUUAGUGAGAUAUGAUUGCUCAUCAGACAUCUAGUGAAGUUCUCCAAAACUUCAAAUGCAUCCAUUCUAUAUGUCAUUUGAACUUGAUUUAUUUCCAUAAAUACAUAUGCCUUUACAUGAAAUUCCUAAUCUAAAUGAGCUCAUAAUUGAACUAAGAGCUUUCAUUGCCUAGACCAAUAGAUUACAAGCAAAGCCAAUACCUCAGUUGUGCAGAGGAAUCAUAACAACCAACAGCACUCAAAUUAUAAACUCUCAAAACAUAAAUCUUCAUAUAUCAACAUGCUAUUUUCCUAUCACUAAGAAAAUCAACCUUUCUUCUGUUCUUACUUAAUCAAUCUUAUCUUCCAUUGGAUUCAGAAAAUUAAAGAUAAAAAGUAGCUACAUUAGUACAUUUUAUGCAGACACAUCUCAUAUGAUACACCAGUUAAGGAAUUUAAGCUGAAAGAAUACUAACUGUAUCAGUGUCUUCAGUUACUGUCCAGGCAAAUUUUGCCAUUGGAUGCUUUUCAUACAGAGGUCUCUUAAUCUUCUCAAGUUCAAGGACACUUUCAGGAAUGCUUCCUGACUGAAGAAUUUUUGUUUGCAAACUCUUGUUCUGAAGAAUCCAUCAAGAAAACUAAAUAGUCAAUCUUGAAGCUGGCUCUAUAUGUAUUAUAAUGGUGCCAAAUGAAAUAAUAAAAAUAACAAAAAAAAAUAAACAUCUUGCAAGUGAUUCAUUAAACUAGCAAAUUUACCAAGCCUGCUAAAUGAAGCCAACCUUGCAAUAAACCAUGUGGACAUUAUAAAUUAUGUCAUUCUUGAAGAAUAGUAAUAGGUAUAUAGCAGAAAUGAACAAAGCAAAAGGAAUACCUCCUUCAGAAAAGUUAUUUCAGACUCUGAUAAACCGCUCCGGUAUCCAUAUUUUGCUCUCUUCAAGUCAUACUUGGGAUUCAAAAUGAAAAUAUUAUAUGCAUUUUCAAGUUGUAGAUAUUCUACAAGGCUAGCAAAAAGAACAUCCAUCAUAUCCACAUCCACUUGCCAAAGGACAUCCCCAUCAUCACUUUUAGCAGACACAUCAUCCUUGCGAGCCAAAAUAUUGAUGGCACGCUCAAAGAUAGAAGUAACCUUUUCACCCAUUUGAAUAGCAUGAACUGAAAAAUUGUAAUUAAUGUGACUGAUAAUGGGAAGAUUGUGGCGUUGUUCUUUAUCUACACUAAUCUUGUAAAAUGGGGUGAGAACUUCUCCAAUUUGUGGAACUCGUGUAUGUUCAAAGAUAUGGUCAAUUUUCAUGAACCAGCGCUCAAGUUCUUCUGGAUGAAGCUUGAAUUCUUGGUUCCCCUUUCCUUCAAAUCCUAUGAAAAUGAAAUUCACAGGAACAGGGAGAUACAUAGAAUCCACUUCCUGAAGCUUUAGAUAAUUUGCAAUAUUACCUGACUUAGUGUAAUUGAGAGCUCCCAUUUUUCCAGGGCUUGAAGAUUCCAGAUCAUCAAAAUCUUCACGUAUAACAGCCUCACUCCAAAACCUACUCUUCGCUUUGAGAUUAAAUAAAGAAAAUACAGAUGACCCGCCUGUUUUACGAGUUCCAUAGGGAGACCCAUAUGACCCAGUAACAGCAAACAGCAAAAAAGCACAGACUAAGACGAUACAGUUACAUGUAACAGAUCGCUGAUCGCCCAUCUCUCUCUUCUGAGCAGAGUCCUCGCACUUCACUGUUUCAAUUCCCCAGCACAGAC
rnacentral:misc_RNA from 1 species